rnacentral:rRNA from 1 species
UCCUCAAUCCUCGGAUUGGUGUUGACUCGAGCGUUGCGAAACGCUGAGUCGAAAAGAAUUGGCAGGCAGGAAUUC